GUUAUCUACAUACAUUCAUCACUUCAUACCUUCUCAAUUCUAACACGUAUUUUAUCUCGCCCAGAGCAGCACCCUGUAUGAGACAGAGUGUGCGAAAUUUUGAAAUACACAUGAAACAGUGUGAUUUCACUGCAAUCGCGAUGCAAAACUUGGAUGCUGUAGCUUUUAUAGUCUCUAAUAUCCAGGCGCUCAUCAAGACGGACGGACAGACAGACAUACCUCGGCUAUUGAUGCUGACCAAGAAUAUAUAUACCAUAUGAGGUGGGAAUCUUUUACGCGUUACGCAAACUGCUCCGACCAUUAAUACAAUAUACCCUAUUUACUCUUCAAGCACCGGGUAUAAAAACCUUUCUUUAAAUGCAGCCACAAAGCUAAAACUUCUUCCUACAAAAACUAGUACCAAAUACAGCCAGUUUUUAUUGCUCUUAAGCACAAUAGACUCUUCCCACACUUUUGAAGCCAGAGUUUUAAUUUGAUUCACUUCUUUUUUGUAAAACUCUACUGGAAAAACCAUCGAAAGGCAUCGCCCAUGGAGCUGUAGCCGGC
rnacentral:lncRNA from 1 species